CCUACGAGUGGCAGCAGUGAGGAAUAUUGGUCAAUGGACGAGAGUCUGAACCAGCCAAGUAGCGUGAAGGAUGACUGCCCUAUGGGUUGUAAACUUCUUUUAUAUGGGAAUAAAAUGGUCCACGGGUGGGAUUUUGGAUGUACCAUAUGAAUAAGGAUCGGCGAACUCCGUGCCAGCAGCCGCGGUAAUACGGAGGAUCCGAGCGUUAUCCGGAUUUAUUGGGUUUAAAGGGAGCGUAGGUGGAUUGUUAAGUCAGUUGUGAAAGGUUGCGGCUCAACCGUACAAUUGCAGUUGAAACUGGCAGUCUUGAGUACAGUAGAGGUGGGCGGAAUUCGUUGUGUAGCGGUUACAUGCUUCGAUAUCACGAAGAACUCCGAUUGCGAAGGCAGUUCACUGGACUGCAACUGACACUGAGGCUCGAACGUGUGGGUAUCAAACCGGAUUAGCUACCCGAGUAGUC
rnacentral:rRNA from 1 species